GAUCUCUGUCCUGUUCUGGUAUCCUACGGGAUAGUCCAGGACUAUUGGAUUUAAUUCCAAAUGCUCCUGAGAGCUCCAUAGAGCGGAAGCUCUGGACGAAGCCAUCAGAAAAAUCGCUUACUUGUGAAGUGAUGGGCCACUCUACUUCGGAGUGGCUCAAUGGAAGCGGCUUCGUGGACAGUUGGCUUAGGCCGCCCUCAGGGGCGGUUUGAGCUGUUAAGUGCAAUACACAGACAUUGUGCA
rnacentral:misc_RNA from 1 species